AUUCUACUCCCUCCGUUGUACAAUACAUGCCUUCUAUUUGUCAAAAUGUAUAUGUAUCUAGACAUGUUUUAGUAUAUAGGUACAUCCAUUUUUGGAAAAAUGGAAGUCAAGUAUUUUGGAACGGAGGGAGUACACA
rfam:Triticum aestivum genome assembly, contig: Triticum_aestivum_CS42_TGACv1_scaffold_320466_4BL